CGCGGUGAAUACGUUCCCGGACCUUGUACACACCGCCCGUCAAGCCAUGGAAGCUGGGUGUACCUAAAGUCGGUAACCGCAAGGAGCCCGCCUAGGGUAAAACUAGUAACUGGGGCU
rnacentral:rRNA from 1 species